AUUGAACGCUGGCGGCAGGCCUAACACAUGCAAGUCGAGCGGAUGAAGGGAGCUUGCUCCUGGAUUCAGCGGCGGACGGGUGAGUAAUGCCUAGGAAUCUGCCUGGUAGUGGGGGAUAACGUCCGGAAACGGGCGCUAAUACCGCAUACGUCCUGAGGGAGAAAGUGGGGGAUCUUCGGACCUCACGCUAUCAGAUGAGCCUAGGUCGGAUUAGCUAGUUGGUGGGGUAAAGGCCUACCAAGGCGACGAUCCGUAACUGGUCUGAGAGGAUGAUCAGUCACACUGGAACUGGGACACGGUCCAGACUCCUACGGGGGGCAGCAGUGGGGAAUAUUGGACAAUGGGCGAAAGCCUGAUCCAGCCAUGCCGCGUGUGUGAAGAAGGUCUUCGGAUUGUAAAGCGCUUUAAGUUGGGAGGAAGGGCAGUAAGUUAAUACCUUGCUGUUUUGACGUUACCAACAGAAUAAGCACCGGCUAACUUCGUG
rnacentral:rRNA from 1 species